rnacentral:rRNA from 1 species
GACGUAGGGGGCGAGCGUUGUCCGGAUUUAUUGGGCGUAAAGAGCUCGUAGGUGGCUUGUCACGUCGGUUGUGAAAACCUGCAGCUUAACUGUGGGCGUGCAGCCGAUACGGGCGGGCUAGAGGCAGGUAGGGGAGAGUGGAACUCCUGGUGUAGCGGUGAAAUGCGCAGAUAUCAGGAGGAACACCGGUGGCGAAGGCGGGUCUCUGGGCCGAUACUGACGCUGAGGAGCGAAAGCGUGGGGAGCAAACAGG